rnacentral:rRNA from 1 species
UCCAGCCAUAUCGCCCUGCAAUUCACAACUGGCAACCCCCUGAAGCUCAGCAGGUGUGAGUCUGGUCAGUACCUGGAUGGGAGACCUCCUGGGAAAAACUAAGUGCUGCUGGAA